UAUAACAACAAAUACUAAAAAGUACGGAACCCUCGGUGGGCGACUCGCACUUUAUGGAUGCAGUUUAUACAGGGUGUUUAUUUAGUCACCUGCAACAAUUUACGGGGUGAAUAUUUAGGUCAUACUGAACAACUUUUAUUAUGGGACUAACCCCGAAAUCGCGAAAAAAAAUUGGCUGUUUCAUAAAUGUUGGCUGUCUGACAUUGACA